AAAAAAGACAAACACUGGUUUCCGUGUCCAACGUUUGACCGUCCGUCUUAUUUGAAAAAAUUAAAAAAUAAGUCACGCAUAAAGUAUUAAUCAUGUUUUAUCAUCUAACAACAAUGAAAAUACUAACUAUAAAAAAAUUUCACAUAAGACGGACAGUCAAACGUUGGCAUGGGAACUCACGGUUUGCCUUUUU
rfam:Oryza glaberrima chromosome 5 Oglab05_0141_9, whole genome shotgun sequence.